AUUGAACGCUGGCGGCAGGCCUAACACAUGCAAGUCGAGCGUAUGAAGGGAGCUUGCUCCUGGAUUCAGCGGCGGACGGGUGAGUAAUGCCUAGGAAUCUGCCUGGUAGUGGGGGAUAACGUCCGGAAACGGGCGCUAAUACCGCAUACGUCCUGCGGGAGAAAGUGGGGGGUCUUCGGAACUCACGCUAUCAGAUGAGCCUAGGUCGGAUUAGCUAGUUGGUGGGGUAAAGGCCUACCAAGGCGACGAUCCGUAACUGGUCUGCGAGGAUGAUCAGUCACACUGGAACUGGGACACGGUCCAGACUCCUACGGGAGGCAGCAGUGGGGAAUAUUGGACAAUGGGCGAAAGCCUGAUCCAGCCAUGGCGCGUGUGUGAAGAAGGUCUUCGGAUUGUAAAGCACUUUAAGUUGGUAGGAAGGGCAGUAAGUUAAUACCUUGCUGUUUUGACGUUACCAACAGAAUAAGCACCGGCUAACUUCGUG
rnacentral:rRNA from 1 species